UGCAAGUCGAACGGUGAACACGGAGCUUGCUCUGUGGGAUCAGUGGCGAACGGGUGAGUAACACGUGAGCAACCUGCCCCUGACUCUGGGAUAAGCGCUGGAAACGGCGUCUAAUACUGGAUAUGUGACGUGAUCGCAUGGUCUGCGUCUGGAAAGAAUUUCGGUUGGGGAUGGGCUCGCGGCCUAUCAGCUUGUUGGUGAGGUAAUGGCUCACCAAGGCGUCGACGGGUAGCCGGCCUGAGAGGGUGACCGGCCACACUGGGACUGAGACACGGCCCAGACUCCUACGGGAGGCAGCAGUGGGGAAUAUUGCACAAUGGGCGCAAGCCUGAUGCAGCAACGCCGCGUGAGGGAUGACGGCCUUCGGGUUGUAAACCUCUUUUAGCAGGGAAGAAGCGAAAGUGACGGUACCUGCAGAAAAGCGCCGGCUAACUACGUGCCAGCAGCCGCGGUAAUACGUAGGGCGCAAGCGUUAUCCGGAAUUAUUGGGCGUAAAGAGCUCGUAGGCGGUUUGUCGCGUCUGCUGUGAAAUCCGGAGGCUGGGUACGGGCAGACUAGAGUGCGGUAGGGGAGAUUGGAAUUCCUGGUGUAGCGGUGGAAUGCGCAGAUAUCAGGAGGAACACCGAUGGCGAAGGCAGAUCUCUGGGCCGUAACUGACGCUGAGGAGCGAAAGGGUGGGGAGCAAACAGGCUUAGAUACCCUGGUAGUCCACCCCGUAAACGUUGGGAACUAGUUGUGGGGUCCAUUCCACGGAUUCCGUGACGCAGCUAACGCAUUAAGUUCCCCGCCUGGGGAGUACGGCCGCAAGGCUAAAACUCAAAGGAAUUGACGGGGACCCGCACAAGCGGCGGAGCAUGCGGAUUAAUUCGAUGCAACGCGAAGAACCUUACCAAGGCUUGACAUAUACGAGAACGGGCCAGAAAUGGUCAACUCUUUGGACACUCGUAAACA
rnacentral:rRNA from 1 species